AGAGUUUGAUCCUGGCUCAGGAUGAACGCUGGCGGCGUGCCUAAUACAUGCAAGUCGAACGCUUCACUUCGGUGAAGAGUGGCGAACGGGUGAGUAAUACAUAAGUAACCUGGCAUCUACAGGGGGAUAACUGAUGGAAACGUCAGCUAAGACCGCAUAGGUGUAGAGAUCGCAUGAACUCUAUAUGAAAAGUGCUACGGGACUGGUAGAUGAUGGACUUAUGGCGCAUUAGCUUGUUGGUAGGGUAACGGCCUACCAAGGCGACGAUGCGUAGCCGACCUGAGAGGGUGACCGGCCACACUGGGACUGAGACACGGCCCAGACUCCUACGGAGGCAGCAGUAGGGAAUUUUCGGCAAUGGGGGAAACCCUGACCGAGCAACGCCGCGUGAAGGAAGAAGUAAUUCGUUAUGUAAACUUCUGUCAUAGAGGAAGAACGGUGGAUAUAGGGAAUGAUAUCCAAGUGACGGUACUCUAUAAGAAAACCACGGCUAACUACGUGCCAGCAGCCGCGGUAAUACGUAGGUGGCAAGCGUUAUCCGGAAUUAUUGGGCGUAAAGAGGGAGCAGGCGGCACUAAGGGUCUGUGGUGAAAGAUCGAAGCUUAACUUCGGUAAGCCAUGGAAACCGUAGAGCUAGAGUGUGUGGGAGGAUCGUGGAAUUCCAUGUGUAGCGGUGAAAUGCGUAGAUAUAUGGAGGAACACCAGUGGCGAAGGCGACGAUCUGGCGCAUAACUGACGCUCAGUCCCGAAAGCGUGGGGAGCAAAUAGGAUUAGAUACCCUAGUAGUCCACGCCGUAAACGAUGAGUACUAAGUGUUGGGGGUCAAACCUCAGUGCUGCGGUUAACGCAAUAAGUACUCCGCCUGAGUAGUACGUUCGCAAGAAUGAAACUCAAAGGAAUUGACGGGGGCCCGCACAAGCGGUGGAGCAUGUGGUUUAAUUCGAAGCAACGCGAAGAACCUUACCAGGUCUUGACAUCGAUCUAAAGGCUCCAGAGAUGGAGAGAUAGCUAUAGAGAAGACAGGUGGUGCAUGGUUGUCGUCAGCUCGUGUCGUGAGAUGUUGGGUUAAGUCCCGCAACGAGCGCAACCCCUGUUGCCAGUUGCCAGUAUUAAGUUGGGGACUCUGGCGAGACUGCCGGUGACAAGCCGGAGGAAGGCGGGGAUGACGUCAAAUCAUCAUGCCCCUUAUGACCUGGGCUACACACGUGCUACAAUGGACAGAGCAGAGGGAAGCGAAGCCGCGAGGUGGAGCGAAACCCAUAAAACUGUUCUCAGUUCGGACUGCAGUCUGCAACUCGACUGCACGAAGAUGGAAUCGCUAGUAAUCGCGAAUCAGCAUGUCGCGGUGAAUACGUUCUCGGGCCUUGUACACACCGCCCGUCACACCAUGAGAGUCGGUAACACCCGAAGCCGGUGGCCUAACCGCAAGGAA
rnacentral:rRNA from 1 species